rnacentral:rRNA from 1 species
UACGUAGGGUGCGAGCGUUGUCCGGAAUUAUUGGGCGUAAAGAGCUCGUAGGCGGCUAGUCACGUCGGAUGUGAAAACCCGAGGCUCAACCUCGGGCCUGCAUUCGAUACGGGCUGGCUAGAGUACUGCAGGGGAGACUGGAAUUCCUGGUGUAGCGGUGAAAUGCGCAGAUAUCAGGAGGAACACCGGUGGCGAAGGCGGGUCUCUGGGCAGUAACUGACGCUGGAGGAGCGAAAAGCGUGGGGAGCGAACAGG